ensembl:lncRNA
GUCUGCAGCUUACAACCUCCUGUGUGCCUUAACUUGCACCUUUAACCUAAAGAUUGAAGGCCAACUGCUGGAGACCUCUGGCCUCUGCAUCCUUGCCAAUAAUACCCUCUUCAUCGUGUCCAUUAGCAAGACUCUAGCAGCUAAUGAGCCUCACCUGACCCUGGAGUUCCUGGAGGAGUGUAUCUCUGGCUUCAGCAAGUCCAAUAACAGAUCUACUUGAUGUAGUUCUGGACAGUUUUAUUAAAACCAGUGCAACCGGAGGUCUCGGAUUCAUCAAAGCUGAAGUGAUGGCAGACACAGCAGUGGCCUCUGGGCCUCUUUCACUGCGGGCAUCCACCCAUGGCCUGGUUAUCAACUUCAUCCACUCCCUCUGCACAUGCUCCCAGCUGAGUUUCAGUGAGGAGACCAAGCAGGUGUUGCAUCUAAGUCUGACAGAGUUCUCCCUGCCAAAGUUCUACCUACUGUUCGGCAUCAGCAAAGUAAAAACGGCUGCGGUCAUCGCCUUUCGUUCCAGCUACAGGGAUUGUUCGUUUUCUCCGGGCUCCUACGAGAGAGAGACCUUUGCUCUGUCAUCCCUGGAGACGGUCACCGAGGCAUUGCUGGAGAUCAUGGAGGCAUGUAUGAGGGACAUUCCAGGCUGUAAGUGGCUGGACCAGUGGACCGAUCUGGCACAGAAGGUUUGGAAAGCUGCCUGAAGGGUGCUGAUAACUGUAACAGCCAGGUGCUGAUCGAAGCUACCGUCAUUGCCCUCACUAAACUACAGCCUCUGCUCAACAAGGACUCACCGAUGCACAAAGCACUGUUCUGGGUUGCUGUGGCUGUGCUGCAGUUGGAUGAGGUGAAUCUGUACUCAGCCGGAACUGCUCUGCUGGUACAGAACCUACACACACUCGAUAAUCUGCUAGUCUUCAAUGACAAGAGUCCUGAGGAGGUUUUUAUGGAGAUUCGUCAGCCUCUGGAAUGGCAUUGUAAACAGAUGGACCAUUCUGUUGGUCUCAACUUCAACUCCAACUUUAAUUUCGCUUUGGUCGAGCACCUGUUGAAAGGGUUCAUACACCCAUCUCCCACCACAGUGGCACGCACCAUCCGUAUCCUGCACAUGUUGUUGGCCUUGGUUGGAAAACACCUGAACUGUGAUAAGUUUGAGGUGAACACACAGAGCGUUGCAUAUCUGGCAGCUCUCCUCCCAGUGUCAGAGGAAGUGCGUAGCCGCUGCAGCCUGAAACACAGGAAGUUGUUGCUCCUCUCUGAUAUUAACAUGGAGACUGUUUCCAUGGAUUCAUACUCCGUACAUCAUGAAGAUCCUAGCUGCAGAACGCUGUAAAUCCAUGAGCCUGGACAUGGGGCAACCUUCCCAGGUCAACACCAAGAAGCUUCUAGGUACUAGAAAAAGUUUUGAACAUCUGAUAUCAGACAGCAAAGCACCGAAGAGGCCUGAAAUGGAAUCUGGUAUCACAACACCGCCUAAGAUGAGAAGAGUGGCUGAAAACGAAUAUGAAAUUGAAACCCCAAGAAUCUCGCAUCACCACCUGCGGGAGGUCUCUGUGUCUAGUCCAACAUCCUGCUUAACGAGGAAGUUCUCACAGAUCCCAAAAUCCAGACGCUGCUUCUUACAGUGCUGGCCACUCAGGUGAAAAACACAUCGGAUGAAUUUGAGCAGAGGAUCCUGUAUGAGUUUCUAGCUGAGGCCAGUGUUGUCUUCCCAAAGGUCUUUCCUGUCGUUCACAACCUCCUGGACUCAAAGAUUAAUACUUUGCUGUCGCUGUGUCAGGACCCAAAUCUUUUGAACCCAGUCCAUGGAAUUGUGCAGAGUGUAGUUUAUCAUGAAGAGUCGCCAACUCAGUACCAAACGUCUUACCUGCAAACUUUUGGGUUUAAUGGACUCUGGAGGUUUGCUGGACCUUUCUCUAAGUUCCCAGACUAUGCAGAGCUGAUUGUCAAGUUUCUGGAUGCACUGAUUGACACCUAUCUGCCGGGCAUCGAUGAGGCAAUGAGCGAGGAGGGUCUGCACACACCCACCUCUCCAUACCCUCCACCUGUCCAGAGUCAGCUCAGCAUCACUGCUAACCUCAACCUCUCCAUUUCAAUGACCUCACUGGCCACCUCCCAGCAUACACCAGUGGGAUCAGUGGAAAGAGGAUGCUGCUGUCGUUUAGGCCGCUGAUCUCCGUCUCUGUGCUAACUCUGCUGGGCUGGUGCUGGUACAGCUUUAGUAGGAGGAGGACAACGAUGAAUCCAACACAAGUGAACAUGUGUUGUUCGGCCAGAAGCAGCCCUCUUUACUCCUCCCCUGCUGACUCCAGUAUUUUGGGCGAAAGUGAUCUGAGCAUGGACCACAGCAACUCAGGAUCCUCUGAAAUCAAAAACCUUACCAGCACCUCUUCCAAAACAGGCCUCACCAAGGGAGUUCGACCCGAGCCAGAAGGAGAAGUAUCCGUUCGCUUCCCUGAGACUCUCCAAACUGAGCAGGAAAAGGACAACGUUGCUGGUGAAGGUCAUCCAGACUGUGGAGAAGUUAGUGAAGAUGACUCUAGACUUGAGUCUGAUCUGGUUUGUCUCUCUUCAAACCACCUUGCCACCGACUCUCACACUUUAACAGAGCAACAGUCAGGUGCUGUCCGCUUGGACAGUCAUAAUGGCAGCAGCCUGACCACUGAUGGAGGCCUGAACCAGGAGAACCUGGAGAAGAUCAGUUCUGUUCAGCAGACAACAAGUCAUAGAUGCAGCAGCAGAGGACUGGAAAAACCAGGAACCCAGUGAUCCACAUGAGCCUGGAUUUCAGUUUGCUGCUCGAGAAUCAUUCAGCUGCGAUGACAACAGAAGAGUAUGCCUUCAGGAAGCCAGCUCUUUCAGGGAAAAACUACUCAGCCAUUUAAGAACUUCUGGUGAUGAUUCUGGAUGUGGUUCCUGCUUCUCAGAAGAUGCAUCCGAUGCAGAAGGGCUGACCAGAGAGUUGUCUGAGGAAGGUCAAGGGUUUGUUAUGAUCCCCACAGAAGCAAACACAGUCAGCAUUGAGAGCAAAAUGACUCCCUGUAUGCUCGAGGUGACAGAAGGAGAGGAGGAGGCCUUGAGAGGUUCAGAUGUUAAAAGCUGCAUUAGUGCUGACACUCAGGUGAGCAGCUUGGCUCCUCCUCCAACCCCACCCAUCAUUAUCUGAGACAUAGAGGUGCCAGCG